rnacentral:lncRNA from 1 species
UCACACUUUGCUGCAUUCUCAAGAUUAGAUCCAUCCAAAUGAACAAGACCAUAUAUAUAUUUUCAAUUAAGCAUAUGUACUGAGAGUAAUGAACUUAUAAAUGAAGUAUCAAUUUAACUUAUAGCAUGCUUUGGAUAAUUGUUUGUUAAUCAUCAAAAUAACACUAUCAUCCUCAUCAAAAUAACACCUUGCAAUUUUUCUAUUUGUGAUAAUUCGACCUGGGUAUUGGAUACCGGUAGUCCUUUUAAUAUUUGCAAUUCGUUGCAGGGGCUACAAGUCAGUAAGAGGUUUGAAGAAGGAGAAAGGUUCCUGAAUGUUGGAGAUGGAAGACCAGUUCCAGUUCUAGCUUUAGGAAUUCUUAAACUUGAAUUCAGUUUUCAUGUAAAUGUCCUUAGUGAUUGUCACUAUUGUCCAAGUUUUCUAUUGAAUAUCAUUUCUGUAGGCCUUUUGGCCAAAAAUGGUUAUGAAAUAUCAAUAAAAAAGGAUUAUUGCAAUGUCAUUUGGAAUG